rnacentral:rRNA from 1 species
GGUCAAGUUAUUAAGGGUGCAGGGCGGAUGCCUUGGCACUAGGAGCCGAUGAAGGACGUGAUAAGCUGCGAUAAGCUUCGGGGAGUUGCACGUAAACUUUGAUCCGAAGAUUUCCGAAUGAGGAAACUCACUUAGAGUAAUGUCUAAGUAUCAUUAAGUGAAUACAUAGCUUAAUGAGGGGAACUCAGGGAACUGAAACAUCUAAGUACCUGAAGGAAGAGAAAGAAAUUCGAUUCCGUAAGUAGCGGCGAGCGAACGCGGAUUAGCCCAAACCAAUAAAGUUUUCUUUAUUGGGGUUGCGGACAUAUCAUAACGAAGAGGUAUCGUAAUUGAAGAGGUUUGGAAAGACCCACCACAGAAGGUAAUAGUCCUGUAUGUUAAACGAGAAGACUUUAGAUAUGAUCCAGAGUACCACGGGACACGUGAAACCCUGUGGGAAGCAGGAGGGACCACCCUCCAAGGCUAAAUACUACCUAGUGACCGAUAGCGUAUAGUACCGUGAGGGAAAGGUGAAAAGAACCCCGGGAGGGGAGUGAAAUAGAACCUGAAACCCUGCACUUACAAGCUGUGGAAGCACAUUUCUUGUGUGACCGCGUACUUUUUGUAGAACGGGCCAACGAGUUACGUUAAGUAGCAAGGUUAAGCACUUAAGGUGCGGAGCCGUAGCGAAAGCGAGUUUUAACUGAGCGUUCAGUUACUUGACGUAGACCCGAAACCGGGCGACCUACCCAUGAGCAGGAUGAAGCGAAAGUAAAAUUUCGUGGAGGUCCGAACCCACGAGCGUUGAAAAGCUCGGGGAUGACUUGUGGGUAGCGGUGAAAUUCCAAUCGAGCCCGGAGAUAGCUGGUUCUCCCCGAAAUAGCUUUAGGGCUAGCCUCAAGGUGAGAGAUACGGAGGUAGAGCACUGAAUGUCCUAGGGGGUAUUGCACCUACCGAAGACUAUCAAACUCCGAAUGCCGUCAUCUUAUACUUGGGAGUCAGACUGUGGGUGAUAAGAUUCAUAGUCGAAAGGGCAACAGCCCAGAUCGUCAGCUAAGGUCCCUAAAUGUAAGUUAAGUGGUAAAGGAUGUGGGAUUGCACAGACAACCAGGAUGUUGGCUUAGAAGCAGCCACUCAUUCAAAGAGUGCGUAAUAGCUCACUGGUCGAGUGAUCCUGCGCCGAAGAUUUCCGGGGCUAAAACUUACUACCGAAGCUACGGCAUCAGUAAUGAUGGGUAGGGGAGCUUCCCAUACGGGUUGAAGCAUGACCGUAAGGACAUGUGGACAGUAUGGGAGUGAGAAUGUUGGCAUGAGUAGCGAGAUGUGGGUGAGAAUCCCACAGGCCGUAAACCCAAGGUUUCCAGGGGAAGGUUCGUCCGCCCUGGGUUAGUCGGGACCUAAGCUGAGGCCGAAAGGCGUAGGUGAUGGACAACAGGUUGAUAUUCCUGUACUACCGAUAACCGUUUGAGAGAAGGGAUGACACAGUAGGAUAAGCUAAGCACACUGUUGGUUAUGUGUGCCCAAGCAUUGAGGCAGUCAAAGUAGGCAAAUCCGCUUUGAUAAUGCUGGGAUGUGAUGGGGAGCGAAAUUUAGUAGCGAAGUAGCUGAUUUCACACUGUCAAGAAAAGUCUCUAUCGAGGUUAAAGGUACCCGUACCGCAAACCGACACAGGUGGGUGAGGAGAGUAUCCUAAGGCCAGCGAGAGAACUGUUGUUAAGGAACUCGGCAAAAUGACCCCGUAACUUAGGGAUAAGGGGUGCCACCAUCAGGUGGCCGCAGAGAAUAGGCCCAAGCGACUGUUUACCAAAAACAUAGGUUUCUGCUAAGUCGCAAGACGAUGUAUAGGAGCUGACGCCUGCCCGGUGCUGGAAGGUUAAGGGGAUCUGUUAGAGCAAUCGAAGCAGUGAACUUAAGCCCCAGUAAACGGCGGCCGUAACUAUAACGGUCCUAAGGUAGCGAAAUUCCUUGUCGGGUAAGUUCCGACCCGCACGAAAGGCGUAACGAUUUGGGCACUGUCUCAACAACAGACUCGGUGAAAUUGUAAUUCCGGUGAAGAUGCCGGAUACCUGCGACAGGACGGAAAGACCCCAUGGAGCUUUACUGUAGCUUGACAUUGGGUCUUGGUACUACAUGUACAGGAUAGGUGGGAGGCUUUGAAACCAGGACGCCAGUUUUGGCGGAGCCAUCCUUGGGAUACCACCCUUGUAGUACUGGGACUCUAACCAUAGGCCAUGAAUCUGGUCUUGGGACACUGUCAGGUGGGCAGUUUGACUGGGGCGGUCGCCUCCCAAAAGGUAACGGAGGCGCUCAAAGGUUCUCUCAGUACGGUCGGAAAUCGUACGUAGAGUGUAAAGGCAAAAGAGAGCUUGAUUGCAAGACAUACAGGUCGAGCAAGGAUGAAAAUCGGACUUAGUGAUCCGGUGGUUCUGCGUGGAAGGGCCAUCGCUCAACGGAUAAAAGCUACCCUGGGGAUAACAGGCUUAUCUCCCCCAAGAGUCCACAUCGACGGGGAGGUUUGGCACCUCGAUGUCGGCUCAUCACAUCCUGGGGCUGUAGUAGGUCCCAAGGGUUGGGCUGUUCGCCCAUUAAAGUGGUACGCGAGCUGGGUUCAGAACGUCGUGAGACAGUUCGGUCCCUAUCCGUCGCAGGCGUAGGAAAUUUGAGAAGACCUGUCCUUAGUACGAGAGGACCGGGAUGGACGUACCUCUGGUGUACCAGUUGUCCUGCCAAGGGCAUGGCUGGGUAGCUAUGUACGGAAUGGAUAAGCGCUGAAAGCAUCUAAGCGCGAAGCCAACUUCAAGAUAAGAUUUCCCACCGCAAGGGUAAGACCCCAGAAAGACUAUCUGGUUGAUAGGUCGAAGGUGUAAGU